UUCGGGAAACGGAUUAGCGGCGGACGGGUGAGUAACACGUGGGUAACCUGCCUCAUAGAGUGGAAUAGCCUUCCGAAAGGAAGAUUAAUACCGCAUAACGUUGAAAGAUGGCAUCAUCAUUCAACCAAAGGAGCAAUCCGCUAUGAGAUGGACCCGCGGCGCAUUAGCUAGUUGGUGGGGUAACGGCCUACCAAGGCGACGAUGCGUAGCCGACCUGGGGGGGUGAUCGGCCACAUUGGGACUGAGACACGGCCCAGACUCCUACGGGAGGCAGCAGUGGGGAAUAUUGCACAAUGGGGGAAACCCUGAUGCAGCAACGCCGCGUGAGUGAUGAAGGUUUUCGGAUCGUAAAGCUCUGUCUUUGGGGAAGAUAAUGACGGUACCCAAGGAGGAAGCCACGGCUAACUACGUGCCAGCAGCCGCGGUAAUACGUAGGUGGCGAGCGUUAUCCGGAUUUACUGGGCGUAAAGGGAGCGUAGGCGGAUGAUUAAGUGGGAUGUGAAAUACCCGGGCUCAACUUGGGUGCUGCAUUCCAAACUGGUUAUCUAGAGUGCAGGAGAGGAGAGUGGAAUUCCUAGUGUAGCGGUGAAAUGCGUAGAGAUUAGGAAGAACACCAGUGGCGAAGGCGACUCUCUGGACUGUAACUGACGCUGAGGCUCGAAAGCGUGGGGAGCAAACAGG
rnacentral:rRNA from 1 species